rnacentral:rRNA from 2 species
AUACGUAGGUGGCAAGCGUUGUCCGGAUUUAUUGGGCGUAAAGCGAGCGCAGGCGGUUUCUUAAGUCUGAUGUGAAAGCCCCCGGCUCAACCGGGGAGGGUCAUUGGAAACUGGGAGACUUGAGUGCAGAAGAGGAGAGUGGAAUUCCAUGUGUAGCGGUGAAAUGCGUAGAUAUAUGGAGGAACACCAGUGGCGAAGGCGGCUCUCUGGUCUGUAACUGACGCUGAGGCUCGAAAGCGUGGGGAGCAAACAGGAUUAGAUACCCUGGUAGUCCACGCCGUAAACGAUGAGUGCUAAGUGUUGGAGGGUUUCCGCCCUUCAGUGCUGCAGCUAACGCAUUAAGCACUCCGCCUGGGGAGUACGACCGCAAGGUUGAA